UACGAGUGGUCCUAGUGUUAUCCGGAAUUAUUGGGCGUAAAGGGUCUGUAGGUUGCUUAAUUAGUCUCCCGUUAAAUCUUUGGGCUUAACCCAAAGCUCGCGGGGGAAACGGUUAGGCUAGAAUAUGCGAUAGGUAUACGGAACUCAUAGUGUAGGGGUGAAAUCCGUUGAUAUUAUGGGGAACACCAAAAGCGAAAGCAGUAUACUGGCGCAUUAUUGACACUCAAAGACGAAAGCGUGGGUAGCGAAUGGG
rnacentral:rRNA from 1 species